UGGGUCUGGUGCCUGGCUGCCUGCCCUUGGUUUCACUUCCUUGUUUUUUUCUUAAAACAGGUACUGAGUAUAAAACAAUAUAAAACAAUAUGAGAGGGUCCGUCUCUUCCCUCACCCUGAUCUCCCCAAAUUUGGUCGAUAUCUAAGGUUUUUUUUUGCUGUACAACUCCUUUUCUGGAGUUUUACUCACUUUCAACAAGGAAGGUGAGUUUUCCUGCUUCCAUGAUGAUGGAGGGCAGGCAACUCCUUUCUGGAGUUUCAGCUCAAUUCCAACAGGGAAGGCGAGUUGGAGUUUUUUUCCUGCUUAUAGGCUGGUAGAGAGCAGUGUUGAGCCUGGACUCCAUUCCUAGAUGCGAUUCCUCCCGUGAUCUCAGUGAUUGUAUCAGGCGAAAACGAGGAGGGCAAAAUACCGUCCAGAUGUAAACUAGGAGCAGCCGCACCAGCAGCACCAGCAGAAUGCCGUGGUAGUGCGGCAGGCCCUGGCCCCAUGGACAAAGAGAAACUCGUCAGUGGCAGUGGCCACGAACUCAGAAAGCCUGAGGACAGUCAGCAGCUCCUCUGGCUCUUCACUUUCACACUGGUGCAACUACAGGAGCUGAAGAACAUUUUUCAACUCGUUCCAUACCCGGACGUGUUAGGAUCAGAUUCAUCAUUGGACUCCUGGACCUAUCACUGCGGACCUCAAAUGUGCACCUUUUAAGCCCUUUCCUUCACUCCUGACUGAUUGAUUUGGGAUCCACUGCUAAGUCAGACUUUUGAACCAUUGUUCCAGGCAAACUUCUGUUAAAGCUGUUUCAGAUGAGUUUCCAAUGUUUAUAUUCUAGUUGGACCACAAAUAACGAGUCUCAUCUCAGCACCCGAAGGUUAGUAAUAGAUUUCAAGCAGGCAGAAUAGAAAUUAGAGGAAGAUGGAGAGCUUUAAAACACUCUGCUUAACUUUCUAGUUGCAGGUUACCACUCGAGCUCUGAAUUUUUCUUGCUGUAAUUUUCUCAUCAUUUAAAAAUGUGCACAAAAAUACGUCAUAAUAUGUAACCAGCUGUAAUUCCAAAGAGAAUUAAAAUAUGAAGUUCCUGGCAG
rnacentral:lncRNA from 10 species